rnacentral:tRNA from 1 species
GGGGAGUAGUUAAGUGGUAUAACAGCGGUCUCCAAAACCGUUAUCGAGAGUUCGAUUCUUUCCUCCCC